GGCCCUCAGCUUUACGCAUCCCGAGACACACCUGAGCGGUCACCCCGCCCACGUUGAUCGAGGCAGGGGUGACCAGGAAGUAUCAGAUGAUAAGGAUCACUAGCUAAAAUGUACUUUGGCUCACAUACAUUACCUUCACAAAUCUGGAUAAUAUAAUGCGCAAGUAAAAAAGCCAGCUGUAGAAGAAGCAAUUGCCCAAAGCAAAACAAAUAUCACUGGUAACCAAUAUAAGCAUAAGUGCUCAAACCAUCUUUGACUAUUAAGGACUGAAAAUUAAUUCCAUGUGUUUGAGUUGAAACAUCUGUUAUUGUGCUAAUAAACAUAAUAUGCUUUGUUCUUUUGUUUCAUCACGUAUGGAAGCUUCUGAUUUCUCUCAUCCUAUUUGAGCUUGCUUUCCUAUUUACAUGUUUAUUCUCUUUUAUGCAUACUCCUCAAAUAAUGACAUUUACAAUAUAAUCAAAACACACUCAAUUGCAUAGAAUCUCCAAACUUGAUUCCAGAGAAGACACUAGGUUUAGUGGACACCAAACUCCUUAGGAAUGAUGAGGAUUAAAUAAUCUGAUUCAAAUAGGUCCAAUUCUAACCCUACAUACUAUGAUCUACAUGUACCUGACAAAAUGAAAGCAAAUGAGAAACUUAAAAGGCUUCAGCGAAGAAAAGAAAAUUGAUUACUUUGGUAAAUCAAGAAGUUCGUUAGCAUCCAUGGGAACGGUCUUCGUCAUCAUAGCAACCGCCCAAUCGCCCAAGGGGGCCAAGAAGCCAAAUAAAACCCUUCUCUUCGCGGCCUAAGCAACAGGAAGAAGAAAGGUUGUCGAUAGCGAACGCGACAAUAUAUUUCCUUUUUUCGUUUUCAUCCCCCUCGAUCUCGAAUCGGACGGACGAGUUCUCACUUCGCGAUCCAGAUGUCUGCGGCGGCUAUCGCCUGCAGUAGAGGCGCCGCCACGUUCGGGUUUCGUUGCUGGUCGCUGAUGCGGCUGCCGGCGGCGCAAGUCGGGUACCCUCGGUCCAAUUUAUCGCUGCUGCAGCGCUUCACUUCGGACGAGAGCAACGGGAGUAGGGCUUGCCUUAUCGACACGCUCGCUCUGGUACUGCGCUACCUUAUCGGUGUUCGACUGAUGGGAGGGGGUCUUGGUUGCGCUACAGGUGUUUGUGUUUUUGCUUGUGUAGGUCAAGAAGUUGGAGAAGGAAGGGGUCCCGUCGAAGCAAGCGGAGGCCAUAACGAAGGUUUUGAACGAGAUCGCCCGCUCCCUUGGGUCCAAGCCCGAGAUACAGAGGGAUCAACACUAUCCAAUGCUGCAACGAGAGACUGAAGAAAAUCUUCGAGUUGAUAUCGAGAAAAUGCGUAGUGAACUUAGGUCUGGUUUGCAUUGAAGUAUAUAACAGAUUAGUAAGCCAAUUAUAUCCAGAUUAAUACUUCUUUCUUUAAUUUAAACUCACUGUCUUAAACAGAUAUGAAAUCGACAAGGUAAUUGCUGGGCAGCGCUUGGAUCUAAUCCUCGAGAGACGGUAAGGGAUGUUAAUGUCUAUUUGAUAAUGGAAUAUGUGGUGAUACCUCAGGCUGAAUUAUUGUCCAUAUUUGUUACAGAAAAUACACUUUUUUAAUUUAACAACUAGGUUAACCAUGCUAGUUCAGAUGAAGAGUUCAUGUUGUAGGUAACAAAAAACAAGAGUUCAUAUUGAUUUGAAUUCUGAUUUAUCAUCAAGACGUUCUGGUCUGAGUGUUGCUAGAUCACUGUGCUAAUGUUGAUCCAAUGUUUCAUUUGACUUUGUUCAUUUUUUAUCACCUUUGUUAUGCCUGGAGCAAACAAAUAGGACUACCAUCAGUAGCAUCGAUCAAUGAUUAUGUAUGUGCUUAUUGCAAGUAGCUUUUCAUUUUUAAUGUGCUGUACCGGAUGAAUGUAGUAGCUUUAAUUUUAACUUCUUUUUUCUAAUUGUUUAGGCGCAUACGUCACAAGUUACGUGACAAGUUAGCCAAACAAAAUGCAGAAACCACAAAACUUAUUACCAAAAUCGAGAAGGAAAUCCUUGCAUUAAGGGCACAGCUAGACGCAGCAAAAUAUGAUGCCACAAAGUUCUGCAUCGUUACUGUUGUUUCUAUAUGUGUUGUUGCUUGUCAGAUUGCGGCUCUCACGUUCAGUCCCUCGCGUGUAGAAGCGGCUGAGGAGAUCCCCAAGGACAAAUGAUUGAUUUACCAAUUCUAACCCUACAUACUAUGAUCUACAUGUACCUGACAAAAUGAAAGCAAAUGAGAAACUUAAAAGGCUUCAGCGAAGAAAAGA